CAGGCCUAACACAUGCAAGUCGAGCGGGCCCUUCGGGCUCAGCGGCGGACGGGUGAGUAACGCGUGGGAACGUGCCUUCUGGUCUGGAAUAACCCUGGGAAACUAGGGCUAAUACCGGAUACUCCCUUUUGAGGGAAAGAGUUUACUGCCGGAAGAUCAGCCCGCGUCUGAUUAGCUAGUUGGUGGGGUAACGGCCUACCAAGGCGACGAUCAGUAGCUGGUCUGAGAGGAUGAUCAGCCACACUGGGACUGAGACACGGCCCAGACUCCUACGGGAGGCAGCAGUGGGGAAUAUUGGACAAUGGGCGCAAGCCUGAUCCAGCCAUGCCGCGUGAGUGAUGAAGGCCUUANGGUUGUAAAGCUCUUUUAUCCGGGACGAUAAUGACGGUACCGGAGGAAUAAGCCCCGGCUAACUUCGUGCCAGCAGCCGCGGUAAU
rnacentral:rRNA from 1 species